AGUGAACGCUGGCGGUAGGCCUAACACAUGCAAGUCGAACGAGUGGCGGACGGGUGAGGAAUACCUCGGAAUCUGCUCUGUCGUGGGGGAUAACGUCGGGAAACUUACGCUAAUACCGCAUACGAUCGGAUGAGCCCAUGUCGGAUUAGCUAGUUGGUGGGGUAACGGCCCACCAAGGCGACGAUCCCUAGCUGGUCUGAGAGGAUGAUCAGCCACACUGGAACUGAGACACGGUCCAGACUCCGACGGGAGGCAGCAGUGGGGAAUAUUGGACAAUGGGCGCAAGCCUGAUGCAGCCAUGCCGCGUGGGUGAAGAAGGCCUUCGGGUUGUAAAGUACUUUUGUUGGGAAAGCGGUACCCGAAGAAGAAGCACCGGCUAACUUCGUGCCAGCAGCCGCGGUAAUAC
rnacentral:rRNA from 1 species